GACGAACGCUGGCGGCGUGCUUAACACAUGCAAGUCGAACGCUGAAGCUUGGUGCUUGCACUGGGUGGAUGAGUGGCGAACGGGUGAGUAAUACGUGAGUAACCUGCCCUUGACUCUGGGAUAAGCCCGGGAAACUGGGUCUAAUACUGGAUACGACAUGUCACCGCAUGGUGGUGUGUGGAAAGGGUUUUACUGGUUUUGGAUGGGCUCACGGCCUAUCAGCUUGUUGGUGGGGUAAUGGCUCACCAAGGCGACGACGGGUAGCCGGCCUGAGAGGGUGACCGGCCACACUGGGACUGAGACACGGCCCAGACUCCUACGGGAGGCAGCAGUGGGGAAUAUUGCACAAUGGGCGGAAGCCUGAUGCAGCGACGCCGCGUGAGGGAUGACGGCCUUCGGGUUGUAAACCUCUUUCAGCACGGAAGAAGCGAAAGUGACGGUACGUGCAGAAGAAGCGCCGGCUAACUACGUG
rnacentral:rRNA from 1 species